ACUUAAGCAUAUCAAUAAGCGGAGGAAAAGAAACUAACAAGGAUUCCCCUAGUAACUGCGAGUGAAGCGGGAAAAGCUCAAAUUUAAAAUCUGGCAGCUUUGGCUGUCCGAGUUGUAGUCUGGAGAAGCGUUUUCUGUGCUGGACCGUGUACAAGUCUCUUGGAACAGAGCGUCGUAGAGGGUGAGAAUCCCGUCUUUGACACGGACUCCCAGUGCUUUGUGAUGCGCUCUCAAAGAGUCGAGUUGUUUGGGAAUGCAGCUCAAAAUGGGUGGUAAAUUCCAUCUAAAGCUAAAUAUUGGCGAGAGACCGAUAGCGAACAAGUACCGUGAGGGAAAGAUGAAAAGCACUUUGGAAAGAGAGUUAAACAGUACGUGAAAUUGCUGAAAGGGAAACGAUUGAAGUCAGUCGCGUCGGCCAGAACUCAGCCUGGCUUUUGCCUGGUGCAUUUUCUGGUUGACGGGCCAGCAUCAAUUUUGAUCGCUGGAUAAAGGCCUUGGGAAUGUGGCACCUUCGGGUGUGUUAUAGCCCUUGGUUGUAUACAGUGGUUGGGAUUGAGGAUCACAGCAUGCCUUUAUGGCCGGGGUUCGCCCACGUUCAUGCUUAGGAUGCUGGCGUAAUGGCUUUAAACGACCCGUCUUGAAACACGGACCAAGGAGUCUAACAUGCCUGCGAGUGUUUGGGUGGAAAACCCGAGCGCGCAAUGAAAGUGAAAGUUGGGAUCCCUGUCGCGGGGAGCACCGACGCCCGGACCAGACCUUCUGUGACGGAUCCGCGGUAGAGCAUGUAUGUUGGGACCCGAAAGAUGGUGAACUAUGCCUGAAUAGGGUGAAGCCAGAGGAAACUCUGGUGGAGGCUCGUAGCGAUUCUGACGUGCAAAUCGAUCGUCAAAUUUGGGUAUAGGGGCGAAAGACUAAUCGAACCAUCUAGUAGCUGGUUCCUGCCGAAGUUUCCCUCAGGA
rnacentral:rRNA from 1 species